UGACGCAGGAAGGAGCCCUCUCACCAUCAUGUCUCCUCACCUCCUCUGGCCGCUAAUAUUGCUGAAGUGGCUAAAUGAGUCCCAGUAUUAAUUAUCUCAGCCAUUUUCAGAGUGAUACUGAGAAGAAAUGAAAUGGAGAUGGGGAAGAAGGAAGCCGCUCCUCUCUACAGGAUGCCAAAUCAAUGCAGGAGGAGAUUCUGAGAACUACUGGACAACGGCCACAGGGGAACAGGGGAUUCAUUCCAUCUCAAAGCCUCACCCUACACAUUAUCUUUAUUAGCUAUAAAAGGGAAAAGGGAUUUGCAAUGGAGAGUUAUGGCAGACUCCAGCCUCAUGAAGUGACACAACUUAGCAUUGCCACCCAGGGGACAAACCCACACUAUGAGUCUGAUUCAGUGCACCAAGAAGGACAAACAUCACUUACUCUGCUGUAACAUAAUGCAGUAUAUUAUACACUAACAUAUGUAGUAUAUUACAUUACAUAAUAACAUAGUACAGGCUUCUAGGACACAGUUUAUAGAAGUGCAGAUAAUACUUGAGGCAGUUUCCCAAACUUGCAAAUAAAAACUCUCCACAGGGCUUGUGACUAGCACAUUCCCAAAGCCCCAAACCCAGAAUCCCACCUGCUUAGUGAGCACCUCCAGAGCAUUUUUUUUUUUUUUUUGAGACGGAGUUUUGCUCUUGUUGCCCAGGCUGGAGUGCAAUGGCAGGAUCUCGGCUCACUGCAACCUCCACCUCCCAGGUUCAAGCGAUUCUCAUGCCUCAGCCUCCUGAGCAGCUGGGAUUACAGGCACCCACCUAAUUUUUGUAUUUUUAGUAGAGAUGGAGUUUCACCAUGUUGGUCAGGCUGGUCUUGAACUCCCAGCCUCAGGUGAUCCACCCGCCUUGGCCUCCCAAAGUGCUAGGAUUACAGGCACGAGCCACUGCGCUCGGCCAUCUCUAGGGCAUAUUUUUACUGUGCAAUGUGGGAAUCUCUGCCACAGGGUGGGCUGCCUUUCUAACCCAGUGGCCCGGUUCUAGCAGGACUUCCCCAGUAUGUGGAUGGGGGCACAGGGACUCUUGGGGGGGCCUCAAGGCAUCUGUGAGCUACGCCUAACCACCGCUACUGAAUGACUGUGAGAUGAGUCCCAGAGCUGGGACGAGAGUGGGCCUGGUACCCUGCCCCAGCCCUCCCCUGACAGGAGUUAGUAAGGGACAGGUGAGCAUGCUAAAGAGACAGCAAGCUGGUCACAGCCUAGGGCCACCACCCUUCUGUCUUCCAAGUCAGAAACAUGUCCUGACUUUGGGGGAGAGGGUAUAUGUUAAACGGGCCCACCCUGGGAGCUGUAGUGGUCACUGUGGAGCUGAGCACUGGGCUGCACUCCUCGCUGCCCCAGAGUGACCAGGUGGGUGGUUUCAUCCAAGAGGCAGGGCUCAGAAGGCCAGGCUGAGCCACCGAUAUGCAUGUCUGCACCCCACCACUUCCUGCUCAGUCUGUAUCAGGCCCGGGAUGAAAUCGUCACUUAGAUGCUCAGGGGUCCUGCCACCCGUCUGGCCAACACAAACCUGCCAGCAUAGCACUGAGUGGAAGGUUCCAGUGCACCCACAGGCCUGGCUGUUAAAAUGUCCGGCCUCUCCAGAGGACAGGUUAAGUUCACACUGAGAAAGCCUGGCUCUCUCCAGCUAGCCUGAAUUAACGUGAGAAGGAUGAGCACAGCACCUGUGGAAAUGGCGCUGGAAAGCAAGUGUCCCUAGGAACUGCCUCUGCGCCACCCAAGUGCGCCGGCCCAGCGUCCUCAGACAACCCAGGAGGAGUCCUCCAUCUGGCCACUUCCCACCCGUUAGGCCGCGAAGGGACACCAGGUUGGUGAGACCUGGACCCCACCAGCAAAGGACCCUUCCUUCAUUCAUCACACACUGGCUCCAUCUGCACUGCACCUACUGCCAGCCAGGCACUGAGCUUCACAUCCGCACAAAACACAAAGACCUCUGAUACGGUUCGGGUCUGUGUUCCCACCUAAACCUCGUGGUGAAUUGUAAUCAUGUUGAGUUGUUUUGGAGGUGGGGCCUGGUGAGAAGUGACUCGAUGAUGGGGUGGAUUUCUUAUGAAUGGUUUAGCACCAUCUCCUUGAUGCUGUUCUCAAGAUAGUGAGUUUUCACGAAAUCUGGUUGUUUAAAAGUGUGCGCCCCACCCCUUGCUUCUGCUCUGGCCAUGUGAUCUGCCUGCCUUCCCCUUCGCCUUCCACCAUGAUUGUAAGAUUCCUGAGGCCUCCCCAGAGGCUGAGCAGAUAUCGGUACUACACUUCCUAUACAGCCUGCAGAACUAUGAGCCAAUUAAACCUCUUUUCUUU
rnacentral:lncRNA from 1 species